CGGACCGGCGCACGGGUGAGUAACGCGUAUGCAACUUGCCUAUCAGAGGGGAUAACCCGGCGAAAGUCGGACUAAUACCGCAUGAAGCAGGGGCCCCGCAUGGGGAUAUUUGCUAAAGAUUCAUCGCUGAUAGAUAGGCAUGCGUUCCAUUAGGCAGUUGGCGGGGUAACGGCCCACCAAACCGACGAUGGAUAGGGGUUCUGAGAGGAAGGUCCCCCACAUUGGUACUGAGACACGGACCAAACUCCUACGGAAGGCAGCAG
rnacentral:rRNA from 1 species